AAAACUCUAUUGAUAGCGCUAUUACGAAAUUGCUUAGUGGGUGCAAAUACCCAUCUUUAAAUAAUAGACGAGAAGACCCUUGAAAUUUUAAUGAUAUGUUUAGGAGAGUUUUUGUUGGGGCAACAACGUAACAUUUAACCUACGGUUAAUUACACGACAUUCUGUGGAAAGAUUAAAUUACUCUAGGGAUAACAGCGUAAUUCUUAAGAGUUUGCGACCUCGAUGUUGGACUAGGAAGCAAUUGUUUAGAAGGCAAACAGCUAUGCUCUGUUCGAGCAAAAAAUCCUACGUGAUCUGA
rnacentral:rRNA from 1 species